AUUGCCCUAGUAACGGCGAGUGAAGCGGCAACAGCUCAAAUUUGAAAUCUGGCCUCGGCCCGAGUUGUAAUUUGCAGAGGAAGCUUUAGGCGCGGCACCUUCUGAGUCCCCUGGAACGGGGCGCCAUAGAGGGUGAGAGCCCCGUAUAGUUGGAUGCCUAGCCUGUGUAAAGCUCCUUCGACGAGUCGAGUAGUUUGGGAAUGCUGCUCAAAAUGGGAGGUAAAUUUCUUCUAAAGCUAAAUACCGGCCAGAGACCGAUAGCGCACAAGUAGAGUGAUCGAAAGAUGAAAAGCACUUUGAAAAGAGGGUUAAAUAGCACGUGAAAUUGUUGAAAGGGAAGCGCUUGUGACCAGACUUGCGCUGGGCUGAUCAUCCGGUGUUCUCACCGGUGCACUCUGCCCGGCGCAGGCCAGCAUCGGUUCUCGCGGGGGGAUAAAGGCACCGGGAACGUGGCUCCUCCGGGAGUGUUAUAGCCCGGGGCGUAAUGCCCUCGCGGGGACCGAGGUUCGCGCAUCUGCAAGGAUGCUGGCGUAAUGGUCAUCAGCGACCCGUCUUGAAACACGGACCAAGGAGUCAAGGUUUUGCGCGAGUGUUUGGGUGUCAAACCCGCACGCGUAAUGAAAGUGAACGUAGGUGAGAGCUUCGGCGCAUCAUCGACCGAUCCUGAUGUUUUCGGAUGGAUUUGAGUAGGAGCGUUAAGCCUUGGACCCGAAAGAUGGUGAACUAUGCUUGGAUAGGGUGAAGCCAGAGGAAACUCUGGUGGAGGCUCGCAGCGGUUCUGACGUGCAAAUCGAUCGUCAAAUCUGAGCAUGGGGGCGAAAGACUAAUCGACCAUCUAGUAGCUGGUUACCGCC
rnacentral:rRNA from 1 species